CCCGUUGUACGACCAACGGUAGCCUAUGAAGGCAUGCGUCGUGGGUAACCGCGAGGUGUGAAGCCCUUCUGACAAUGUAGCCCCCGAUUUUUUUGCGGGUAUGCGGCGGUCGCGAGACGGCUGUAUAGAAACUCCGAGCAGCGUUGGGGUAAGGAGC
rfam:Burkholderia telluris isolate LMG 22936 genome assembly, contig: contig000009